UGGGGAAUAUUGGACAAUGGGGGAGACCCUGAUCCAGCCAUGCCGCGUGAGUGAAGACGGCCUUCGGGUUGUAAAGCUCUUUUACAUGGGAAGAUAAUGACGGUACCAUGAGAAUAAGCACCGGCAAACUUCGUGCCAGCAGCCGCGGUAAUACGAAGGGUGCAAGCGUUGUUCGGAAUUACUGGGUGUAAAGGGCGUGUAGGCUGGAGAUCAAGUUAGUGGUGAAACCCCUGGGCUUAACCUGGGAACUGCCAUUGAUACUGAUUUCCUGGAGUAUCGGAGAGGAUAACGGAAUAUCCAGUGUAGAGGUGAAAUUCGUAGAUAUUGGAUAGAACACCGGUGGCGAAGGCGGUUAUCUGGCCGGUUACUGACGCUGAGGCGCGAGAGCGUGGGGAGCAAA
rnacentral:rRNA from 1 species